rnacentral:lncRNA from 1 species
UGAAUGUAUUGUGUGAAAACCAUUCCGAGGAUUAAAACAUGAAGACCUACAACUGCUUGCAUUCACACAUUGUUUUCCACAGUUUCCACGACCAACAGGAGGACAAGUCCCACGCAGUUUCCUCUCUGUUACCUUUGAGCUUGCACUUUGUGACAUAUGGUCAAACACGCUUCGGUGUCCCGCGCAGUGGCCGUAGGGGCAGCAGCAGCCCGCCGCGGGGUGCAGCGGGGGCGGCGCAGCUGCCGGCAUGGCGCGGAGCUUCGGCUCGCCGUCUCGCCACACCGCGCCGUUGCGAACCGUGCCUCCCGGCUGCG